UUAAGCGACUAAGCGUACACGGUGGAUGCCCUGGCAGUCAGAGGCGAUGAAGGACGUGCUAAUCUGCGAAAAGCGUCGGUAAGGUGAUAUGAACCGUUAUAACCGGCGAUGUCCGAAUGGGGAAACCCAGUGCAAUUCGUUGCACUAUCGUUAACUGAAUACAUAGGUUAACGAGGCGAACCGGGGGAACUGAAACAUCUAAGUACCCCGAGGAAAAGAAAUCAACCGAGAUUCCCCCAGUAGCGGCGAGCGAACGGGGAGCAGCCCAGAGUCUGAAUCAGCUUGUGUGUUAGUGGAACGGUCUGGAAAGUCCGACGGUACAGGGUGAUAGUCCCGUACACCAAAAUGCACAGGUUGUGAACUCGAAGAGUAGGGCGGGACACGUGGUAUCCUGUCUGAAUAUGGGGGGACCAUCCUCCAAGGCUAAAUACUCCUGACUGACCGAUAGUGAACCAGUACCGUGAGGGAAAGGCGAAAAGAACCCCGGCGAGGGGAGUGAAAAAGAACCUGAAACCGUGUACGUACAAGCAGUGGGAGCACCUUCGGGUGUGACUGCGUACCUUUUGUAUAAUGGGUCAGCGACUUAUAUUCUGUAGCAAGGUUAACCGUAUAGGGGAGCCGCAGGGAAACCGAGUCUUAACUGGGCGUUAAGUUGCAGGGUAUAGACCCGAAACCCGGUGAUCUAGCCAUGGGCAGGUUGAAGGUUGGGUAACACUAACUGGAGGACCGAACCGACUAAUGUUGAAAAAUUAGCGGAUGACUUGUGGCUGGGGGUGAAAGGCCAAUCAAACCGGGAGAUAGCUGGUUCUCCCCGAAAGCUAUUUAGGUAGCGCCUCGUGAACUCAUCUUCGGGGGUAGAGCACUGUUUCGGCUAGGGGGUCAUCCCGACUUACCAACCCGAUGCAAACUACGAAUACCGAAGAAUGUUAUCACGGGAGACACACGGCGGGUGCUAACGUCCGUCGUGAAGAGGGAAACAACCCAGACCGCCAGCUAAGGUCCCAAAGUCAUGGUUAAGUGGGAAACGAUGUGGGAAGGCACAGACAGCCAGGAUGUUGGCUUAGAAGCAGCCAUCAUUUAAAGAAAGCGUAAUAGCUCACUGGUCGAGUCGGCCUGCGCGGAAGAUGUAACGGGGCUAAACCAUGCACCGAAGCUGCGGCAGCGACACUAUGUGUUGUUGGGUAGGGGAGCGUUCUGUAAGCCUGCGAAGGUGACCUGUGAGGGUUGCUGGAGGUAUCAGAAGUGCGAAUGCUGACAUAAGUAACGAUAAAGCGGGUGAAAAGCCCGCUCGCCGGAAGACCAAGGGUUCCUGUCCAACGUUAAUCGGGGCAGGGUGAGUCGACCCCUAAGGCGAGGCCGAAAGGCGUAGUCGAUGGGAAACAGGUUAAUAUUCCUGUACUUGGUGUUACUGCGAAGGGGGGACGGAGAAGGCUAUGUUAGCCGGGCGACGGUUGUCCCGGUUUAAGCAUGUAGGCUGGUUGUCCAGGCAAAUCCGGAUAAUCAAGGCUGAGGUGUGAUGACGAGGCACUACGGUGCUGAAGUAACAAAUGCCCUGCUUCCAGGAAAAGCCUCUAAGCAUCAGGUAACAUUAAAUCGUACCCCAAACCGACACAGGUGGUCAGGUAGAGAAUACCAAGGCGCUUGAGAGAACUCGGGUGAAGGAACUAGGCAAAAUGGUGCCGUAACUUCGGGAGAAGGCACGCUGGUGUGUAGGUGAAGUCCCUGCGGAUGGAGCUGAGACCAGUCGAAGAUACCAGCUGGCUGCAACUGUUUAUUAAAAACACAGCACUGUGCAAACACGAAAGUGGACGUAUACGGUGUGACGCCUGCCCGGUGCCGGAAGGUUAAUUGAUGGGGUUAUCCGUAAGGAGAAGCUCUUGAUCGAAGCCCCGGUAAACGGCGGCCGUAACUAUAACGGUCCUAAGGUAGCGAAAUUCCUUGUCGGGUAAGUUCCGACCUGCACGAAUGGCGUAAUGAUGGCCAGGCUGUCUCCACCCGAGACUCAGUGAAAUUGAACUCGCUGUGAAGAUGCAGUGUACCCGCGGCAAGACGGAAAGACCCCGUGAACCUUUACUAUAGCUUGACACUGAACAUUGAGCCUUGAUGUGUAGGAUAGGUGGGAGGCUUUGAAGCGUGGACGCCAGUCUGCGUGGAGCCAACCUUGAAAUACCACCCUUUAAUGUUUGAUGUUCUAACGUUGGCCCCUGACCGGGGUUGCGGACAGUGUCUGGUGGGUAGUUUGACUGGGGCGGUCUCCUCCCAAAGCGUAACGGAGGAGCACGAAGGUUAGCUAAUCCUGGUCGGACAUCAGGAGGUUAGUGCAAUGGCAUAAGCUAGCUUGACUGCGAGCGUGACGGCGCGAGCAGGUGCGAAAGCAGGUCAUAGUGAUCCGGUGGUUCUGAAUGGAAGGGCCAUCGCUCAACGGAUAAAAGGUACUCCGGGGAUAACAGGCUGAUACCGCCCAAGAGUUCAUAUCGACGGCGGUGUUUGGCACCUCGAUGUCGGCUCAUCACAUCCUGGGGCUGAAGUAGGUCCCAAGGGUAUGGCUGUUCGCCAUUUAAAGUGGUACGCGAGCUGGGUUUAGAACGUCGUGAGACAGUUCGGUCCCUAUCUGCCGUGGGCGCUGGAGAAUUGAGGGGGGCUGCUCCUAGUACGAGAGGACCGGAGUGGACGCAUCACUGGUGUUCGGGUUGUCAUGCCAAUGGCACUGCCCGGUAGCUAAAUGCGGAAGAGAUAAGUGCUGAAAGCAUCUAAGCACGAAACUUGCCCCGAGAUGAGUUCUCCCUGAGACUUUAAGUCUCCUGAAGGAACGUUGAAGACGACGACGUUGAUAGGCCGGGUGUGUAAGCGCAGCGAUGCGUUGAGCUAACCGGUACUAAUGAACCGUGAGGCUUAACCUU
rnacentral:rRNA from 1 species